rnacentral:rRNA from 1 species
GACGAACGCUGGCGGCGUGCUUAACACAUGCAAAUCGAACGAAGUGGCGAACGGGUGAGUAACGCGUAAUCAACCUGCCCUUCAGAGGGGGACAACAGUUGGAAACGACUGCUAAUACCGCAUACUGAAGGAGGGGAUUGCGUCUGAUUAGCUGGUUGGCGGGGUAACGGCCCACCAAGGCGAUGGUCAGUAGCCGGGCUGAGAGGAUGAACGGCCACAUUGGGACUGGGACACGGGCCAGACCCCUACGGGAGGCAGCCGUGGGGAAUCUUCCGCAAUGGAGGAAAGUCUGACGGAGCAACGCCGCGUGAGUGAUGACGGCCUUCGGGUUGUAAAGCUCUGUUAAUCGGGACGCGGUACCGGAAUAGAAAGCCACGGCUAACUACGUGCCAGCAGCCGCGGUAAUUC